CACCGGCGGCUCGAGUGGUGGCCACUUUUAUUGGGUCUAAAGCGUCCGUAGCCGGCUUGGCAAGUCCCCUGGGAAAUCUGGCGGCUUAACCGUCAGGCGUCCAGAGGAUACUGCCAGGCUUGGGACCGGGAGAGGUGAGAGGUACCUCAGGGGUAGGGGUGAAAUCUUGUGAUCCCUGAGGGACCACCAGUGGCGAAGGCGGCCCCCUGGACAAAGACUGACGCUCAGGCACGAAAGCGUGGGGAGCAAACAGG
rnacentral:rRNA from 1 species